UACACGGAGCACGGGCUCUCGCCUCCUCUCUCGCUCGCCGCCGCCACCACCCACGUCGGCCGCUUCUCCGGUGACCUCCGGUGCCGUGCAGCACGCCCCGAGCUCCCCACGGUCCACGCCUCCCUCCCCUCCGGCCAGAGUCUCCGCUCCCGUCCUCUACCGCCCGCUCGCAAGCCCAUCCCCCAUGGCUAGGGUUUCGGGUAGGGCUUCGCAGCCGCGUCUCCGGCUGCCCCAGGUUCGUUCCUCGUUCGUUCUUGGUCUCCCUUUAUCUAACUAAUCAUGUUUAGGUUUUUUAGGGGAUAAACAAGGGGAGGUAUAGCAGGGCGUUGGACAUUUGCGGGAGUGGGGGAGAUCGAUGAGGACGAGGACUGUCUGGUGCACUGCUGGUGCGGGGAGGGCAGGGGAGAGGGAUGGCUGCUGCGCUGCUGUUAGCUGCAUAUAGUACUGCUCCUUUCCUGUUGUUUGUUGAUUGCUGCUGCUGCUGCUGCUACUUUGAUGCAGUUGCUGCUAAUUUGAUGUGAAGGACGUGCAGGGACGGACGACGAGUGAGCAGAGGAUUUAUCCGGGACCUAAAUUUGGCAGGUAAAAAUUGGUCUGUUUGCCGCUAGCUGGCUUCAUGUGAUGCUAGUGUGCUAUGGAGAGGUACAGAGGUUAUUUUACAGGACCAUGAAGGUUCAUGAUUGGCAAUUGAUCUUGGGCUAUUGGCUUAUUAUGAUCAAAACUGAGAUUAUAUGCGCCACUGUUAGUGGUCUUGCAGAGUUGGAAUGUUAUGCUUCACUGUAAUUGCUUUACUGAAUCUACAGACUAAGAAAAUUUCUAUUUCUUGUGUCAGGCAAAUGGGUGAGCUCUCACAUCCCUCUCGGUCUCCUUUGAUUUGCUGCUGCUGCUACUUUGAUGCAGUCCAUGACCUCUCUGUCAAUGAUACCUGAAAUUCCUGGGACUUCUUUUGAAUCGAAACAUUAGAAGAUAAGCUUGUGGUGACUUUAUGAGGUUUUGGCAUUGGACCGUUUGAAACUUUAGAUUGGCAGAGAGAUAGAGACCCUGGUGCUCUGAAGGAUGUUGAAUUUGAGAUCAAAAAUUAUUGUUGUUAAAUAAUUUUUGCUUCUUUCAAUUGGAAAAUUUAGCGUUGUUGGUUGUUUGAUGCUGCAGUGGGCCUUGGCAGUGGCGAGCUAGGUGCCGGCGAGGUAGGCGACAUCAUCAAUGAGGGCCAUCAUGGCCUCCACCUGCGCCCUCUUGCAGGUGGACUGCUGGUCAUCGGUGCGGCGGGUCGGGCUCUUGCAGCAACAUCUACGAUAUUCUCUGGACGACCUGCAGGUAGGCCAGUAGAUGAGGAUUCGACGACCACCACCGAGGUAUGCCCUCCUCUCCUUGCCCUUGGGCUGGCAUCUCUGAUCAGGUUGUAAUCUGCUGAUGUAGUGUUGCUCUUUGGGGAUUCCUAUGGGAUCUAUUUUUGAUUGGUCAAAGCUGGUAUGUUGGCCACCGGUUGGUUUAACAUGAUGCUAUAAUGCGCUACGGAGAGAUAUGUUAUUCCAGUACAAGUGGCCGGUCAGUUAAUUUGAGGAUUUUUGCCUUUUGUUCUUCAGGCCUAUAGCUUUGUGGUUUCAGUUCGACAGUUAAAAGUUGCAUUGGCUUGUAAAAAUUCAUGUGAUUGGACCAGUAGGUGAGGAUGAUCUCAUAUGGAAAAUACUGCUCCAUGGUAUUAAAAUCUGUUAUAGGUGUUGGAAGUCAAUGCUAGGAGCUCCUGGGAUGUGCUCAUGCAUGCUUGGUCGGAACUUUUCUUUUGAAUCAAUUGAUGAACCGAUGGCAUCAAAUAUGCCGUAUGUGUACUCCACUACGUACGACAGGGUGGAAACAAGUUUGAUCGAUGGAGAUGGAUUUCUAUCCUGUUGGUGCAAUUGUAUGUUCAGGUGGUUCUUUCAUGUCCGUUCUCUCUAGCUUCUUGAUGUUUUCUUUCUCAGGUGUAAUUUAGUUGCCAUUUGUAAUAGCCAAAUUUUCAUGUCAAACAUGAUUUAAAGAUUUUCUAUGCCAGUUGACAUGUCAUUUAUUUUCUAAACAGCCUAUUGUUGAUGGUGUUUGAUCUCCUUUCUGACAUCUUCCAAGAAUAAGUUCUCAUGUUCAGUAAAUGCAAUGUAGUUGAUUAUUUUGAAUUAUUGUAGUAGGUUAAUAGGAUUUAAUUGUACUCAAAUUUUGUUUUCCAUAGGGAUACAAACAACAGUGUAACGACUCUAGAAAUCUACAUCUUAAUACUGCCCUAUUUUUGGGGAUUCGAAUCUUCGUGGUUAUGAUAAUGGUUCAAAACUCCAUUUGACCUUGGAA